ACAGAGUUGUUAAUUAACUGUUACAGAAUAUGAAUAUUAAAUAAAGCCACUAAUACGAAAAGCGUUUUGGGCAUUACUUCAGAUAAUAGUUAAAUUAUUUCUACGUUUGAUGGUUAGUUUAUUUCAUUAAUUAUGCACCCUAUACCCAUCUUGUGGGGUGUAGUGGAAAGGGUUACAGAGGCACAUAAUGGGCUCAGGGACUGACUCCACAAUUCAUUCAGCUAAGCAAGUUACAAUCUUGAUGAGCUAGUUACACAGUUUAAUUUAUAUCGUUACAGUGUUACAUUAACAAUAGUGGUUCAGUCUGUGAAGGUUACUGUGGUUGUUUCAAAUGCCUUAUGCAGGUCAAUAAAUAGACCUAUGAGGUACUAAUUUUGGUCAAGAACUCUAUUUAUCAAGUCAUGCUUAUUAAUCAAAGUAACAUUGGUGCUUUUUUUUUGGGUGGGGAGCAGUCUACAGCCGUGACAUACGCACCUUGGAUCAUGCCUGUCACCCCCACAGCCGUGACAUACGCACCUUGGAUCAUGCGUAUCAGUGUAGCUGUGACAAACAUACUUAUCUUUCCUCAUUCAGCGUAUCCCGGAUGUUUUGUUCCCGCUCGUAUUUCCACUUCCUCUACUCCGUCUUAUUCUAACUUUUUCUCCAUUCUCAGUUCUCCCAAGUGGUUAGUGAGAUGUCAGACGAGAGGCUGUCUAAGUACCCUCGCUCUCCUGUAAUCUACUUUAAGGAAAUAUCUUGUACUUGUGAGUUGUGUGGAUAUACAUCGACUUCACAGCAUUAUGCCCUUGGCGGGAUGGGCCUCUUCGCCUGUAUUACUCAACGCUGUUCACCGAGAUAACAAGUGACACAAGGAUAAUAAACGAUAAGGGAGAGAUAUAUAUUUUUUCACCAUAAUAAACAACACAGUUAGUGUAGAACACCGGCAUACAUAGGCGUCAUGACGUCAUUGCUGCUUCCUGACGCUAAUGCUAUAUAUUUAGAGCUCCUAGACAUGACGGAGGCUGUGUGCUUCCCUUCCGGCUUCCAGCUCAGAAGGGGAGCAGCUUCCAUGGUGUUCACGUCUUCGCUCUUAUAGAGCAAGGAGACUGGUGGUGUAUACACUGUGGUAGAAGAGAGCUUGAAGUAUUUUCUCUAUUGCCAUAAGUCAUAACCUCAUGUACAGCCUCGCCAGCAGCCUCGCCAGCAGCCUCGCCUGCUACCGCUACCACUGGUACUGCUGCUGCUGCUGCAGAGUUGUCACACCACACUCGCUGCUUCUGGUUCGUCCCGCGUAUCUCGUCUUGUUUACAGUAUUGUUGUGAGCCUGAAGAAGAAUUCUUAUCGAUAACUUCACGUGAGACUUCGAGCGUUCACAAGAUCGUCUUGGGCCUGGUGUUCCAGCACGCCUUUUCCCUUGAGAUAUUCCUAAAGAAUGAGACGACUUCACACCCUUGUUUUCUGAAGGUGACCCUCAUCAAAAACAAUUCUGGUGAAUUCCUCAAUCUGACGGACCUGGGGAAUGGAAACCGGCUUCCACUUGCCGAAAAUCCUUGGCCUGCCCUAGAGGAUAAUUCCUGUACGGAACUCAUUGUGGAGAUUAACGAUAACCUACUGAGAGUGACAGCCAGGAAACCCUCGCUGGAGAGUGAAGGUCACUCUUCACCGAGCAUCACCUUGCGUCAGAAGGUGUCCAGCACAUUUACGGCAGCCGUUGUCAGCGACGACCACAGCUCCGUCCUCAAGUGGGGAUGCCAGAGUGAAGUAUCGGAAGAGAAGACGAAGUGGACGAGUCAGCAUCUCCUGUGUGUGAGUGGUGCCGGGGUGCUGCUACUCUUGGUCCUCCUGCUGGUGUCCCUCGGGAGGUGCAGGAGCCGCCCCUCACGCCCACACCCGCCCACGGCCGCCCCCGCCACUCCACCCGCCACAACACAACACCUAGACAACACAGUGCAGCGGAAUUCGUUACUCGACAGCAGCGACAGCUUCCAGAGCGACGAGUCACUUCACAGGCAUUGUCAUCAGUACCUUCCUGGAGAUGGUGGGUCCCAAGACCUCUCGCGUGUCAGAGAUGACCACGACCCGGACGGCAGAGGACGACUGCCGAAGGAGGACCACCAAGCAGGUCAUAACCCCUCGGUGAACAUCCGUAGGAAGCCCGAGUGCCCACAAGCACAGUCACUAAGGGACAGCCUUAGCAUGUACGAGAGAGUCACCUGGUGGUGGGGGGACCAAACGGGGUGAAGAAACAUUAUAGCGUAAAGAAAAUGGGACUUAACCAGAUAUAAUUUAAUAUAUAAUUAAUGAUAUAAUUUGGUAUCGCUGACAGUGUGGGAGAGGCAGUUAGAGAUGCUUUUUUGUUUAUAAAAUAUACCUGAAUUAUUAUCCUAUUUCUUAGGUAAACAUAUUUAUUACUCUUGUCAACUAUACCCGUAGGAGAGAACUUCUGGAGGAGAGACUUUAACAGUAAGUGUUGCUAAAACAAACAACGUCUAUAGAGUCGAAAAUGUGGGUUUAGUUGUCCAUAGAGAUUUUGUUCCAACGUAUUUAACGACCAUUAUCGUCGUCGAAUCAACGUUGCUAAUAAUUAUUAGCUUAUAAGAAUUUAUAAGUUUCCUUAAGCGGUGAUUUGGGUAAUAUGGGUUGAGUUAAGUAUAUUUUCUUAUAAUAUGUUGGUCUCCGUAUCUGUCUACCUCCAGGUGAGUACUACAUCUUC
rnacentral:misc_RNA from 1 species